UACGUAGGGUGCAAGCGUUGUCCGGAAUUAUUGGGCGUAAAGAGCUCGUAGGCGGUUUGUCGCGUCUGCUGUGAAAACUCGGGGCUUAGCCCCGGGCCUGCAGUGGGUACGGGCAGACUAGAGUGCGGUAGGGGAGACUGGAAUUCCUGGUGUAGCGGUGAAAUGCGCAGAUAUCAGGAGGAACACCGGUGGCGAAGGCGGGUCUCUGGGCCGUAACUGACGCUGAGGAGCGAAAGCAUGGGGAGCGAACAGG
rnacentral:rRNA from 1 species